rnacentral:lncRNA from 1 species
CAAGUUCGAUUUGCCUCCCACUGUCUCCUUGGCUUAUGAGUUCUCGCUCUCGGAAAACUCCUCUCCUCGCAACGAAGACAACAUUGUCCUUCGGUCUAUAGAAGAGAUAUCCAAAGGAUGUCUGCGGGUAGCCGAUGAAAAUACAUCGCUCACUUCGAGGUUCAAGCUUGUCGUGAGUAUCUCGUCUUACGAAAGCCUCGCAACCCCAAACCUUGAUAUGUGCCAACGAGGGAGCUUUCCCUGUCCACAUCUCGUGAGGUGUUUUGGCAACCUUCUUAGUAGGGACUCGGUUAAGGAUAUGGGCGGCAGUCUCUAAGGCAUACCCCCAAAAAGAGAUAGGUAGUGAAGCACGACUCAUCAUAGAGCGAACCAUAUCCAAUAAGGUUCGAUUACGCCUUUCUGCCACACCAUUCAACUGCGGUGUCCUAGGAGGCGUCAAUUGUGAAACUAUUCCACACUCCUUGAGAUAAUCGUGGAAUUCAAGACUUAGGUACUCUCCUCCUCGAUCGGAUCGAAGCAUCUUGAUUUUCCUGCCCAAUUGAUUCUCCACUUCAUUCUUGAACUCUUUGAACUUUUCAAAAGUUUCUGACUUUUGCUUGAUUAAGUAGAUAUACCCAUAUCUACUAUAGUCAUCGGUAAAAGUCACGUAGAAGCGGUUCCCAUCCUUCGUGGUUGAUCUAAACGGUCCACAUACAUCGGUAUGUAUUAGGUCCAAUAGACCCUCACCCCUUUCACACGUACUCGUGAAGGGUGACUUAGUCAUCUUUCCAAGUAAACAAGACUCGCAUGUGUCAUCUUCCCUAAGGUCGAAUGACUCCAACACUCCAUCCUUUUGGAGUUGGGCUAUGCGUUUCUUGUUGACAUGUCCAAGGCGACAAUGCCACAAGGAUGCCUUAUCCAUACUAUUGGAAGAAUCUAUAUUCAAAACAUCAUUUCCUAAGUUAUCAACAAUCAUAACAGUUUCAUAAAUUCCAUUACAUGGUAUAGCUUCAAAAUAAAAGACACCAUUUAGAUAAGCCAAAAUAGAACCAUUCUCAUUAUUAAAAGAAAAUCUAAAACCUUGUCUAAACAAACCAUGAAAUGAAAUGAUGUUUCUAGCCAUUUCUGGCGAAUAGCAACAAUUGUUCAAAUCUAAACUUAAACCAUUCCUAAGCACUAAAGAAUACACUCCAAUCUUGGUCACAAGCGACGAUUUUUUUUCCCCCAUGAUUAGAUUUAUUCUUCCAGCCUCCACAUCCCUAUUUCUUCUUAGUCCCUGCACAUUAGAACAAAUGUGGUAUCCACAACCGGUAUCAAGAACCCAAGAAAUAGCAUGAGAUGAAUCGUUAGCUUUGAUUGUGUAUAUACCUACGAAAGACGGCUUGAUCUUUCCUUCCUUGAUGGCUUGCAGGUACGCUGGGUAGCUUCUCUUCCAAUGUCCUAUCUUGUGGCAGUGGUGGCACUCUGCCUCCUUUGGGUUAGGGCAGGGUUUAGCAGGAUCAACUUUGGUCCCACUAGAAGAGGCACCAUCUCGGGCUUUAACCUUGCGAUAGUUCUUAGACGAAGCCUUCCUCUUCUUUCCCUUUCCUUGUCCAAUAGCCAAGACAGGAGCAGCGGUUGGGUUGGGAGUUGGUGCAACAGACUUGUCCUUGAAGUUGCUCUCAGCGACCCUCAAGAGACCUUGGAGUUUGCUUAGGGUGACCUCCUCUUUGUUCAUGUGGUAGGUCAUCCUAAAUUGAUUGUAGCUUGGAGGCAAAGAGUGAAGCACCAUGUCGAUCGCCAAGUCUUCCCCAAAGUCAACAUUCAACUUGCGAAGACGGUCGACAUACCUUUGCAUCUUUUGCAGGUGCAUGGUAAGAGACUCUCCAUGAUCCAUCUUAGCGGAAAUCAUGUUAAUGAUAAUCUCAUAACGCUAUUGUCUCUCAUUUUUGUGGUAUCUUUCCAAUAAGUCUUGAUGCAUCUCGUACGGGUACAUGUCCGCUUCACUUUUGUUGCGGAGCUCACUGCUUUUGGAGUAGUGCUUGCAGCUUGCUGCUUUCUGUUCAAGCGGAGCUCGCUGUCUACUCCACGAGUCGCCACAGCUUCGCCUACGCCACUUGUAUAUAGACAACAAUAGCGCCCAAGAUUUCCCCUUCGCGUAGUUNCACAAUCAUGAAAAGCACCUGAACCGAGACCUAGUGGCUAUCAUGAUGCAAUGUACUUUCAUUGCAUCUCGCUCGUGAGUUUCAAAAGCGGUCAUUUCAGCCGGAGUAGCGAUUUCAGGGUUGAUUUUCUUGAGCUUCUCAUCGAGUACAUACUCCUUAUCCUCAUAGCGAGAAAUAGUGCGAAUGUAUCUUAUCCAUUUGCUAAAGUUCGUCCCAUCGAAGGUGACCUUUUGACAAAGGCUCAUCAAUGUGAAAGAACUAGCAGCAACGUUGUCUGUGUUCGACAUCUACAAAUAGAAAGGAAAAAGAUAGAUUAGAAUAUGAAUCCCUAAUUAUCACCCAAUAAAAAAAAUUAGGGCUAGGAUCCAACAACAAUAUUUACAUAUUAGAAAAGGGAUGCCGUAAUCUAACAUGCAAACAAUUUGAAGGUAAGUGAAUGACGAUUCACUAAUUCUCCACCAUGAAAACCUAACUUUAAGUUCUAAAUGAAUUUGAGAAUUCCUAGGUUUAGAUGAGAUUCAUUGAAACUUUUCAAUGGCAUGUUUAAAUCUCGAUAUGCCCCUCUUGUUUGUGACUGGGAUACCGAGGAUCACAAAGCGGGUGUGAAUUACCAUGCAAAUUCACAUGGUGCCUUCAUUGUAACGAUCACCUAUUCGAUGUGCCGGUAAACCACACACGCUCCAUCGAACUAUGAUAAACAAUGAAUCACCCUUUGCCACCUUUGCUUAGAACCAAUUAGUGUGCCGGUAAACCACACACGCUCCACUAACUUCUUAGCAAGGGUGCAAAGUGUAAUUUCAUGGGAUUGCAUCAAUUCACUUUUCCUAAAGUAACUAAGAUUGGGAAAUUUUANNNNNNNNNNNNNNNNNNNNNNNNNNNNNNNNNNNNNNNNNNNNNNNNNNNNNNNNNNNNNNNNNNNNNNNNNNNNNNNNNNNNNNNNNNNNNNNNNNNNNNNNNNNNNNNNNNNNNNNNNNNNNNNNNNNNNNNNNNNNNNNNNNNNNNNNNNNNNNNNNNNNNNNNNNNNNNNNNNNNNNNNNNNNNNNNNNNNNNNNNNNNNNNNNNNNNNNNNNNNNNNNNNNNNNNNNNNNNNNNNNNNNNNNNNNNNNNNNNNNNNNNNNNNNNNNNNNNNNNNNNNNNNNNNNNNNNNNNNNNNNNNNNNNNNNNNNNNNNNNNNNNNNNNNNNNNNNNNNNNNNNNNNNNNNNNNNNNNNNNNNNNNNNNNNNNNNNNNNNNNNNNNNNNNNNNNNNNNNNNNNNNNNNNNNNNNNNNNNNNNNNNNNNNNNNNNNNNNNNNNNNNNNNNNNNNNNNNNNNNNNNNNNNNNNNNNNNNNNNNNNNNNNNNNNNNNNNNNNNNNNNNNNNNNNNNNNNNNNNNNNNNNNNNNNNNNNNNNNNNNNNNNNNNNNNNNNNNNNNNNNNNNNNNNNNNNNNNNNNNNNNNNNNNNNNNNNNNNNNNNNNNNNNNNNNNNNNNNNNNNNNNNNNNNNNNNNNNNNNNNNNNNNNNNNNNNNNNNNNNNNNNNNNNNNNNNNNNNNNNNNNNNNNNNNNNNNNNNNNNNNNNNNNNNNNNNNNNNNNNNNNNNNNNNNNNNNNNNNNNNNNNNNNNNNNNNNNNNNNNNNNNNNNNNNNNNNNNNNNNNNNNNNNNNNNNNNNNNNNNNNNNNNNNNNNNNNNNNNNNNNNNNNNNNNNNNNNNNNNNNNNNNNNNNNNNNNNNNNNNNNNNNNNNNNNNNNNNNNNNNNNNNNNNNNNNNNNNNNNNNNNNNNNNNNNNNNNNNNNNNNNNNNNNNNNNNNNNNNNNNNNNNNNNNNNNNNNNNNNNNNNNNNNNNNNNNNNNNNNNNNNNNNNNNNNNNNNNNNNNNNNNNNNNNNNNNNNNNNNNNNNNNNNNNNNNNNNNNNNNNNNNNNNNNNNNNNNNNNNNNNNNNNNNNNNNNNNUUUGAUCUUGUUGUCUUGGAGCUCUAGAGUCACAAUUGUCACUCCUCUAAUGGCUUACAAACACCAACUAGCAAGGAGGAUGAUUUGAGAGAGAGGAGAGGGAUUAGAAAUCGGCCAGGGUUUCUUUGCUUUAGCAGAGGUGCCGAUUUCCCUUGCCCUAGGGGUCUAUUUAUACUUGUAAGGCUCCUAGGGGUUCACCCUUAAACCCCAGUUGGAUAAUCUUUCCUUAAAGCAAUCCUUUCCAAAGAUAAGCCUUGGAUGAAUUUGAGGCUAUCCCAAGCCCUAGAAUUCGUCCAACCUCUAUCCAAGAAGGAUUUACAGCCCAAAGUGUAACUGUCAAACAAUUGACAGUUUAUACCCUCUUAUUUAAUUAAUCUCUUUAAGUCACCAAAUUAAUACUAAUUAAUUCAUGACUUAUAUUAAUCAAAUAACAAUAUUAUUAUUUCUUAUAUUAUUCUCAUAAUAUAUUAAUAAUAUUUAUUCUCUCAUAAUAAAUCAUCCUAUCAAGUUGCUAUGGUGAAGGCAACCCAAAAGGACCAUGCAUAAUCGGGUCAAAUACUUGCCUAAUAUAGUUGCAACCUUAGACACUAUUCCAACAAUGUGUCCAAGCCAAGUGUAGAAAUCUAAACUCAUGAGAAAGAGGUUAUUAACUCUUUAAACCUUAUAGGGCAUUAAGUACCCUUAGUAGGAGGAACGAUGAUCAGUGUUUAUUCCUAAAGGCUAUGAUCCUUGAACUUUUGCAAAUUGCAAAUGUUAGCUUGAGGUGGGUGUUAGCCUAGCUAGUUCCCCUCAGAUGCUUAAAUCAGUAAUGGUCUUUUUUUAGAGCAAAUAAAAGAAUUUAGAUAAAAGUAAAGGGUAAAGAAUUUGUACCUUGAAUCUUGUUGGAAAAAGAAAAUUUUAACUUACUUGGAAUACACUUUCAGGUGUUUGGCAUUCUAGGAUCUUGGCAAGACAUCUCCUUCUAGGUUAGCCGACCAAUAUGCCUCUUUUCCUUCUUUUCAAUCGAUAAGAUAUGGAUAAUCCCAUUUGGGUGCAAACUUGCCUACAUUAGGAUCCUUGGUAUUUUGGAAUGAUUUCCUAAGGACCAAGUCACCUACUUGGAGUCUUCUAAAUUUGAUAUUUUGUUUGUGCUUUGGCAAUCCUUUGUUUAUGAGCAACAAUACGGAUCCUGGAAAGAUCCUUGAGUUCAUCGAUAGUGUCGAGAUCCCGGGGUAAGAUCUCAUUGUUCUUCUCCUGAUUUUGGAAUUGGUAUCUGGCCAUUGGGACUACCACUUCGGUUGGGAUCAUGAUCUUUGUUCCAAACACCAAGGAGUAUGGAGUUUGACGUUUGGUUGUUUUUGUAGUCCUAUCCGCCCAUAAGACGAAAGGAGGUUCUUCAGCCCAUCUUCCUUUCUUUUCAUCUAGCAUUUUCUUCAAAUUUUUUACUAUGAUAUUGUUGCUAGAUUCUGCUUGACCAUUAGCUUGAGGGUGAAAAGGAGUAGACUUUAUCAUUUUAAUUUCCCAACUGUUGCAAAAGUCUUAAGUCCUUUUGCUUAUGAGUUGGGUUCAUUACCGCAUAUGGUUUUAGCAGGGAUCCCAAACUUGGUUAGGACGUUGUGUUUAAUGAAUAAGACUACUUCCUUGUCUCUUACUUGAACACGGGCUUCAGCUUCUAUAUAUUUUGAGAAGUAGUCUCUCAUCACUUGCAUGAAGACCUUUCGGCCAGGAGCCUUUGGUAACUUGCCAACCAUAUCCAUUCCCUAUUUUAUGAAUGGUCAGGAGGAGAUGAAAGGUGUAGAGGUUCCGCCGGUUGAUGAAGGAUGUUGCUAUGUCUCUGAAAAGCAUCAUAUUUUUGUGCGUGUAAGAAGGCAUUAUUUUUCAUUGUUGGCUAAUAGUACCCCACCCAUAGUAUUUUGGAGCAUAAGGAUUUGCCCCCAAUGUGAUUGCAAUAAUCUCUUCUGUGUAUGUCCUUUAGAACUUCUGUAGCUUCAUGAUCUUCUAAACAUCUUUGGUAUGGCUCUACCAUGGAUUUCUUGUAUAACUUCGCUUGGAUCAUCUCAAAGCGUGAUGCCCUCAUCUUGAAUGCUUUGUCGCUUCUUUCCUCUUUUGGGAUCUUUCCAUUUCAAAGGUAUUCUAUAACUGGGUUGAUCCAGGAUCUUGGAGGAUCCUGAUUAUUUGGAUCAAGAUGCUAAUUGUUGUGAUCCUGGUGAGUGGGUUGAGGACUAUGAUCAUCAAUUGUUGCAAUCUUGGUUGUCUGACCGCGGUCAUCCGGAUCUUCUGAUUUUUAGUGGGAUCCUCAGUUGAUGGGAUUGUCACAUAGAUUAUCGGGAUCCUAGCCUCUAGUGGGAUCCUAAGGGAAGAUCCUAGAUUGGCUAAUGCAUCUGCUUCGAGAUUAUCUUCCCUGAGAAAUUGGUUUAGGCUAAAAGUUUGAAAUUUGAUGGCUAAUUUUUUAAAAAUUUGAAGGUAUGAUGCUAGCCUUUUGCCUUUAACUGCAUAGGAUCCAUUAAAGUGGUUAGUUAUUAAUAAUGAAUCGAUGUAUACCUAAAGAUCCUUGACUUAAAUAUCCAUGGCUAGUUGCAGUCCCAUGAUUAGUGCUUCAUAUUUUUCUUCAUUUUUAGUUCCGUCAAAUUCACAGAUAAUAGCAUGGGGUAGUAUGUCCCCCCUACGACGAUUUUAGUAUGAUCCCAAGGCCAGUUCCUCUUUGUUUGGAUGCUCCAUCCUUGAAGAGUGACCAUCUUCCCAUGUUUUCUUCGUGUAGAAGUUUAUUGUGGAUCUUGUUUGCUAGUGCUUGUGACUUUAUUGUGGAUCACUAAAAUCAGCCAUAAAGUCUGCUAGUGCUUGUGACUUUAUUGUGGAUCUUGUUUCUUAAUUUUUGUCAUAUGUAUUGAGCUUCACGGACCACUUAGCCAUAUAACGCCUAGGUUUUCACUCCAGUUACACUCCAUGAAUAAACUUUUUAUAAAAUAACUUUUUAAAUAUUUUGGUGUACACUGGUACUCUGGAGCACAAGAAGCUAUCACCAGGGAUCGUACUGGCCAUAAGUAUAGGAUCUGAGUCGGGCACUACCACUUAUAACCUGCAAAACAAUCACAAACAAAUAUAGUAAGCCUCAUGGCUUAGUGAGUAACAACUAUAAUAACAUAAAUCUCAUAACCAAACAAAUAACACACAAUUCAACAUAAUAUUGUCAUCACAUCUAUAACUUAAAAUCAUGAAUAUCAAUUAAGAGAUCUAACAUAUUAUCAACAUAAUUUCAUAGGUAAACAAUAAAUUGUCACCCAUCAAUAACAAUAAAUUUCAUCUCAUCAGCAAGUAACACACCAACAAAUAACAUUGUGUCAUCUCGUGAUACAUCAACGAAUAACAACGAUGUCGGCCCGUGACACAUCAAUGGAUAAAAAUGGUGUCAACCCGUGACACAUCAAUAAAUAACAACAGUGUCAGCCCGUAAAACAUCAAUGAAUAACAAUGGUGUUAGCCCGUAACAUAUCAAUGACUAACAAUGGUGUCAGCAUGUGCCGUAUAAACGAAUAACACAGUUUCAAUAUGUGACACAUCAACAACACCAUUUUCUCAUUUGAUUCACCUACAAUUACAAAUAUACCAUCUUGUGGUACAUAUAUAUCCCUAAAACAUCAUAAUAUCAACAAUAUGAUACUCAAUCAUUCAAACAACAAUAUAACUCAUUUAUUGUAACACACAAUUAUCACAAACAACAGGUGUUAGAGUAGUGUUACUUACCUGGUUAAUUGGAAGACAUGUCAACUUUAGUCCUUGCCAUACUCUGCUUUCCAGUUCGUCACAUGGCAAUACUUAACCAACAAUUAUCAAGUUCCUCAGAACUUUCCAUAACUUACUAUUAACUAUACUUCAUGACUAUUUGUCACCAAACCCAUUAACACAAUAAUAUAACCACAAUAAGCUUAAUUCGUAAGCAGUUAACCAAACCUAUCACAUCGGGCAACUCUAGUACAUUAGGUUUUACAACCCUCACAGUCUUGACUAACUAUCUUACCGUAAUAUUUAUUUACACAUCUUACCAAUAGGUUCGUAAUAGCACCAUAUCAUGAACACUCAUAACAUAUACUUGGGUAUAACAAUUCCUGAAAACUAUCAUAUAUAAUAAUUACACAAUAAAAGGGUAAAGGAUACCUCCAUAAUCAUGUAAAUCAGCUCGUAUCUCAUGUAUAUCGGUAUAAAUCCACCGGUAUAAUGUCUUGUAAACGACUCACAGGCAAUAUCUCUGCUCAAAUGUGUCAAAAUCCUCCAAAUAACACCAAAAGUGCACAUAUUUAUAAUAUGUGUUGGUCACAUCGUGACUAUAUAGGUUUCAUGUCGUGUCCACCUGUUGAACCCCGUUCUAGCCACGUGUCGCACUCUUGAUCCACGUAUCUUGUCGACUUGUCGCAUUUCAUGUUGUGACACACCUAUUGUCACGUCAUGAUAAACAUAAUUUCACAUCGUGAUGGUCAAAAGUUGACCCUUGACUUUGACUUUCCCAAAAUAACAACCUACUUUCAUCUCAACUUCAAACAACCAUAACCUUCUCUUACGGAACAAACUUUAUAUCCACGAAAUCCUCAUCACACGAACUACAACAAUUGUCAAAUAUCUUUUGUUAAAUAACCUUUCUCAAAUUGAAGCCACUCAAGGAUUUAUCUCAUCUGUUCAUCUCAUAACAAUCUAUAUCUCUUAGGAUAGUGCCUGUUUUAGAAAAUAGCUAUUACAAGUUCUUCCCUCCUUUAAGUGAUUCCAUCCCCGGAAUUUCCUGGAAUCGCACACUACAAUUUAGGAGUUUCACUAACUCAUAGUAUUCAAAAGAAGGACUAUCUAGCCACAUCAUUCAGUUCAAUUUGCCUGAGAUCAUUAAUAAUUUUCUCGGUUCUCACAAUGAAUCAACAUUACUUGUGAGGAGUCUAUAAUGCAGAAGAUCACAUACAAGGAGGAUAGAAAAACAUAAACUACGCUUAGAUAUCUGCACUUAGUCAUAACUUUUCUAUAAUUUCCAUUCUAUUUACAACAAGUAGUACUCACUUACUACGUAUUUAGAAGCGACUAUCUCUUUAGCCCUUUGUGACUAUCACCUGGUACUUGAGUGACGACUCAUCCUCAAGUCACGAGUAUAUCACCAAAAUUAAUGAAAAUAUACUCAUAAUCACUUGAUUGGGUAUAUCACUAGUAGUUCACUUAAUUAUUUACCACCGAAUAUCAUCUUGGUGUACACAAUAUUUCCAUAUGUCAACAGAUAUAUCAACUUAUACACCACAAAUUCUCGAAUUUCAUAACAUCCACUAUUGUUCUCAACACCAAUAAAUGUGGAUCAAAUACUUAGUAAGUUCUUCACAUUAGUAUCAACAAAACACUCAAUAGGUCGAACAAACACUUGUUUCUAAACAACCUCAUAGUAAGAAAUAUCGACUAGACACUCAAUAAUUUGCACAAUUAGGUAUUGACUAGACCCUCAGCAGGUCAUACAAUUAUAUAUUAACUAGACACUCCACAAGUCGCAAAAUUAGGUAUCGAAUAGACACUCAGUAGGUUGUACCAUUACAUAUUGACUAGACACAUAGCAAGUCGCACAAUUUGGUAUCGAAUAGACACUUAGAAAGUCGUACCAUUACAUAUUGAUUAGACACUAAGCAAGUCGCACAAUUAGAUAUCGACUAUACGCUCAACAGUCCGUACCAUUGUAAAUCACAUUCCAGCAUAACAUUUGCUUUCUAUGAUCAAAUACAACAUUUGAGUCACAAUUCAAUAAUCACUACAAGGGUGUCAUCUUGUUUUCACUCUAAUGAUUUUGUUAUUAUAUUGUCAACCUGUGACAUCAAGUAAUCAUUAUGCCAACAUAUAAUGUAUCAUGCCAAUAUGUGACACUAUUAACUCGUAUCGUGUCAACCUGUGACACUAUUAACUCAUAUGGUCAACCUGUGACAUCCCCACACAUACCGUAUAAACUUGUGAUACCAUCAACGAUAUGAUGUAAACAUGUGACACCAUAAUAAGGAAAAUGUCAGAUUGUGAGAUUUCAAAUAGAAUCCAACACUCUUCACUAAUCAUAUUACUCACAUUCUAUUACUUUUACUGGAAUUACUAUUUUUGUUGAGUCUGUGGGUUGCAUCAUUGGGCUUAAUAGCUUAGUCCAAUUGUAUCACAGUUUGGGCCUGUCCAUCCGUGCUUUUGAUAUUAGGGUUUAGUAUUUAUGGUGCAUGCAUGCAUCGUCUUUUGUACGCUUUAUAAUUAUUAUCUCUUUCGUUGAACUGUAACCUUAGCACACCUCUACAGUAAAAGUUCUUAGUCUAGCUCUUCUGAGGUGUUGCAGUUUUAAUCAUUCAACACUUGUUUGAUUCAUCGUGUGUUCAUACUAUUGUUUACUUUCUGAUUUACUUGUUAAGAAUCUAAACGGUCUUAAUAAAGUUUUCAACUCAGCAAUUAGUAUCAGAGCGGGAGACUGUGUAAUCCAUACGCAUCUCUUCUGUUGAAGAAAGUUUUAGGGUUUCCGCUAUAAUCGUUUUUGCUAGAGCCAUCAUCUUGUUAUUGAAGUUGCUCUUAGAUCUCGAUCUUACCCUAACUUAGUUUACUAGUUUGAUUCUUCGCAGGUUAUCAAACCGAAUCAUCACAUCACACGACGACUCUCAAUCAAACCCCAUCAAUAUAUCCAACAGUAUCAGAUCUACCACGAGAAUCCCGAUUUAAUACACUCAUUAUUAUGAAGUCUGGACACAUCACUUUGAGGACUAUGUUCUUGGUUCAUAGCAAAAUAGGUAUCUAAUCUGGGAAGCAAUCACUGUGGGUCCGUUUUCUCGUUAUGGAACGAUCAAAAUCAUCAAGACGCAAAAGGAAUACAAUUAGCUUAUGAUUGACAUAGAAAAGGUUCCUCAAGACGAGAAGGACAAACUGAUGAGCAACAUCAAAGCCAUGAGGAUGAUCAGAUUUGCUUUACAAUCUGAUACGUUUUGUAUGGUCAGCACAUGCACAACAACAAAACAGAUAUAGGAUAGGCUUAAGGCGCUAUAUUCUACAGAUGAGGAUUUAGAGCAUUAAAUACAAACCCUUUUGCUCUUUGAGUUCGGUGACUUCAAGCGGAAGCCAGAAGAAAAACUCAUUCAAGCGUUUGAUAGUUUCAAUCAUCUCCUCAACCAGAUUAUCAAACAUGGAAUUUCCAGAGAGGUAAUUGAGCAGAAGGUUACUUUUAUGAAUGGCCUGAGACCCGAAUGGAUGCCGGUGGUUUCAACUGUAAAAGCUCAUGAAUAGUUCAAAACCUAUUCGUUGGCAAAGCUUGUGGGAAUACUUAAAUCACACGAAAGUGUUGUGAUCAUGGAACCGAAUGUGGUUUCUAGUAUGGGAUCGUUAGCCCUUCUCUCAAAGGGAAAAAGCAUGGACGAAGAAUAAGAAGAGUUGGAUCUUUCUGAAUGUGAUCUGACAAACGAAAAAUAUGCAUUGAUGGUCUCUAAUCCCAAGAAGUUUGCUCGCAAAAAGUUCCCUACCUCCAAGAACUGAAACCGGCAAGGGAGCUAUAGUUCAGAAAAAGCAAAAUAGGAGAUUAAGAAUGCUCCUCGGCAAGAAGAAACGAAGAAGGAGAGCAAGCUUGUAGGUGACUCUGGAUAUGAUUGCAAUUUUUUUCAUGGCAAAAAUCACUUUGCCAAAGAUUGUAUGUUGAGAAUCCUGUCCGAGAAGAAGGAUGGAGAAGAUGAUGAAGCGUAUCACUUGUGCAAAUUGGAAGAAAUAAAGAAGAACAAAACCACUAACAAUUCUAUGAAUGCUUUAAUUUUGUAGGAAAACAUUGUUGAUGAUGAGUUUAGAGGUGUAGAAUUCUGGUCUACAGACUCCGAAGAUGAAGAAGUUCGCAAGCCCACGCAUGGUAGGGCUUUUGUGGCGAAGGAAGAUAACUUUGAGUUUGCUGGAAGAUGUUUGAUGGUGACUAUUGGAGUGUCAUGAAUGAGAGCCUACAAAAUCAAGGGCGAAAGUGAGGAGGUGAAGGAAAGAGAAGACAAGUGCUUCACUGCCAAACCGAUGGGUGAGCAGACCAACGACUGCGAUCAGUUGAUCAAGAAGGUACAAUCCAUUCUCGAAUCACUAAAAAUACCUGUCACGAACUAUGAAAAGUAAUUAAAUGAACUAAAAUUCAAGUUUUCUAGUUUAAGUGGUAGUCUAAAACAUAAUCGCCUAGCAAAUUCUAACCUAACUGAUAAACUCAGCAGGGUGUCUUCCAUGAGUGAGGAGAGAAGGAUGUGGAUAGAGACGAAGGAAGUGGAGUUAGUUAGGAUGAAAGAUGAAGUAAUUUAUUUGCAACAUAAUUUGAAGCUUUUGAAAUAAAGAUACAUUUUUUGCUUGAUUGCUAAACAUUUAUAUACUAAUAUCACCCAAAUGCAUUUAGAUUGUGAGAUUGGUAAAAAGAUUCAUAAAAUGAUUUUUCCCUUCUUGGAACUAAAGGAGGACAAAGUCGAUAUUGAUGGUUAUAACUGUGAAUCUAUUGUUUCUUCAAAUGAAAAUUUUGAUGCUUACAAGAUCGGUCUGGACAAAAUCGAGUCCUUUAUUAAGUCCAAAGACCAUAAGGAUAUGCUUAAUAAUCUCUUGGACGAAAACGAUAAAUUGAAAAUCAAGACCGAAACCAUGUAGAAAUUUGACUCAUUGAAUGCCAGGUUGAGUUCAGAAAACAAGAUAAAUGUGGAAAACACUUCUGAAUUUGACAAGGACAGUGAUAUUAGCGAAAUAUCUGUAGAGGAUGAAGUUGACUGUUUAGAAUUUGUCAAAAGCGAAACCGAACCUACCAAAGGUCUUAUAUCUAAAAAUUCGGUUGAGUUCGCUCGGAUGUCCCAAGAUAAAUCCAAAGUUCUGAAACAGAAGGUUGUGGUAUAUCAAAAGAUACAAGCUGUACUAAAUCAGGUAUACACCAUAACAGGAGUUACUCAGGAACAAACAGCCAAACUUACAGCCUUGGUAAACAAAGACAACGCUAGUGGCUGUGAUGACCAUUUUUGGUCUGCCCCAAUUGACAAUGCAGAUGAGACUGUCAGUUUAUCAAAGAGAACGUCAUGGAGAGUUAAAGGCAGAUAUGUGGUAGAACCACUCAAUAAGCCUACAAGCUUUGAUGCACCAAGCACAAGUGGUACUAAAGAGAUUCCAAGCAAACUUGCGAAGGUGGCAAGCAAAACCUCUUCAUUGAAGAGUGAAACUCAUGCUAAGAGACCGAUGCCGAGAGUAAACAUUCACAAGUCUCAAAAGCAACUUGCUGAACAAAAACUCCAACGAAAAAGGAGAUAUCAAAAGAAUCUCAAUGAAAGGAAGCAGUUUCUGAAAUCCAAAAACUCUAACUAUGUUCGCACAGAAAAGGCGUCCAAUCUCAAAGAGAAAGCAAGAUCAAAGGCUAACUCUAGUCUAUGCAUUCACUGCCAAUCUUGCAGUCAGACAAACAAAAGAAGUAGUUUCAGUCCCAAAGUGAGCAGUGACAAGAACAUAAAUACCAGCUUCGGUCCUAAAUCCCAUCCUCCUUAUUCCUAACUAAAGAAAAAUCCUAACGAGGAUGUCAAGGGAAAAGGAAAGCUCGUCUCAAAAGGCAAAAAGCAAAUGAAGAAGACAUCCGCUAACCCUAGGAAACAAGAAAACAAGUUUGUUAAGAAUCAAAAUAAAAUUCCACAACCCGAUUCAAACAAACCAAAAGAUAAUAAAAUUAAGGUUUUCACCAUCAAAAAGAAAGACGAAACCACUUUAAUAAAAAGAACAUAUAUGGUUGGUCUGACCAUUACUAUUCCCUAUUCUGUAAAAGGCUCACGUGGACCCAAGCAACUUUAGGUUCCUAAAUCUGCUUGAUUUUUGCAGUUCGACGAUGAAUGGUAUAUCGAUAGUGGUUGCUCACGUCACAUGACAGGGAGACGGGAAGAGCCAAGGGAGUUUCAGGCUCUAAAAGAUGGUGGAUGUGUCAAAUAUGGUAACAACUUGUAUCGCACAAUAAAAGGCUAUGGCAUGAUCACGAACGAAGAUUUUUCGAUUCAAAAGGUGGCAUAUGUGGAAGGAUUGCAACACAAUAUCAUAAGUGUCUCGCAAUUGGUUGUAGGGACUGGCUUGAAGGUCUCAUAUGAUGAUGAAGGAUCCGAGAUCAUUGAAAAGAAAACAAUGUCAGUUCUGUUGAAGUCCCAUCACAAAGACGAAAUGUAUCCAUUAAAUCUGAAUCCGAUACGAGGGAAGCCUGUUGUAAGUCUUUUAAUGAAAGCUCAUUCCGAUGAAAGUUGGCUGGGGCAUCGACGACUCUUGCACCUUAACUUCAAAGACAUUAACAAGCUAGUUCUUGGUGAUCAUGUGCAAGGUCUGCCACUUCUAAAGUUUGACAAGGAACAUUUGUGUGCUGCAUGCGAAAUGGGAAAGCAAAGCCGGAAGAGUCAUCCCACACGUAUUAACACGAAGAUCAUCGAACCUCGUUAGCUUUUACAUAUAGAUCUAUGCGGUCCAUCGGCCGUAGAAAGUAUCGGUGGUAGUAAGUACAUUCUUGUAAUAGUUAAUGAUUUUUCACGUUUCACCUGGGUUUUCUUUCUUAAACACAAAUAAGAGGUGACUCCAAAGCUCAAAAACUUUAUAAAGAAAGUGGAGCUUCAAUUGAGAAAGGUGGUUAGAAAUGUCUGAAGUGAAAAUGGGUUGGAAUUCAAAAACCAAGAGUUUGAAGAAUUUCUUAUUGAAAAGGGAGCUUCUCUGCUCCCUAUACUACACAACAAAAUGGUGUAGUUGAAAGACAAAACCGUUCGUUGUGUGAAGCCGUCCGAACAAUGCUUAGCUUCGCUUCUCUACCUCUGUACUUCUAGGCUGAUGCAAUUGCAUCUGCCUGCUAUAACUAGAACCGAUCCUUCCUCAAUAAGCGAUUUUUCAUCACACCAUAUGAAAUUCUAAAUAAUCACAAGCCUAAUGUUAAGUUUUUCCAUGUUUUCAGUUCUAGGUGUUUUAUCUUUAAUUCUAAAGAGAAUCAAAGCAAGUUUGAUGUGAAGGCAGACGAAGGGAUCUUUUUUGGCUACUCUCUUACCUCCAAGGCAUAUAGGGUUCUGAAUAAAAUAUCAAAGAAGAUCGAAGAAACCUAUUAUGUCACUUUUGAUGACAAUUACGUGAAGAAACUUCAAUCCAGCGAAAGUCCAAUGGAGGAAAUCUUUCCACAAACAGGUCACGUCACGACUCCUAUAUCAAAUCUGUUUGAAGAGUACAUGCUGCUUUUUGAUGAACCAGAGAAUGCAAUUCUCUCUAAAGUGAAGGAAUGAUAACAAAGUUGACAACAUGAAAAAGAUAAUCAACAAAGCUGCAAAAGCUAUCAAAAGCGAACCUCAUGAUCCUCGUGAAUCUUAAGAUCCAAGCGAACCCUAAGGUCCAAGCGAACCUCAAGGUCCAAACGAACCUUAAGGUCCAAGCGAACCGACAAAUGACCGCAUCACAUUCCAGGGGGAUAGAUCAUCUACACCGAAACGACCUGAUUUGCCAUUCUAGGGGGAGAACCCAUCUCCAACAAAGAACCAUGAAAGUCCAAUCGAGGGGGAGAAUUAUGAACCUGAUGUUGAAAUUGUUUCACCAUUCGAGGGGGAGAAUGGUAAUACAAAUGAUGACGACACUCAAUCAGAAUUUGAAGAAGAAAUAAAUGUUGAAUUGGAUCCCGCUUACGAUCCGAAUUACCCUCCACUCGUAAAAUGGGCACGUGAUCAUCCAAAGACUCAAGUAAUUGGCGAAUCAUCUGAGGGAGUUCUUACACGCUCUCAACUUAAAGUGAAACAAACUGCUUUAUUCUCUCAAGUAGAAUUUUGUUUGUCUAAUUCGUUUGUUUCCAAGAUUGAGCUGAAAACAGUCAAUUCUGCACUUGAUCACUCUGAUUGGGUACAGGCUAUGCAAGACAAUCUAAAUGAGUUCGAGCGAAACCGAGUUUGGAGACUGAUUCCCACACCAAAGGAUGCAUAUGUGGUUGUUUUAGAAUGGGUAUUCUGGAACAAGAUGGACAAAGAAGGGAACGUGAUAUGCAACAAGGCAAGGCUAGUAGUUAAGGGAUAUUGUCUAGAAGAAGGUAUAGAUUACGAAGAAACCUUUGCUCCUAUAGCAAGGUUAGAAUCAGUUCGGAUCUUUUUGGCAUAUGCUGCUCACAAGAAUUUCAAAGUCUUUCAAAUGGACGUCAAGUGUGCGUUUUUGAAUGGAGAACUAGAAGAGACUGUGUUCGUUGAGUAACCACCUGGAUUUGUGAACGAGAAGUAUCCUAAUCCUUGCUACAUUCUAUACAAGACAGUUUACGGUUUGAAGCAAGCCCCGAGAGCCUGGUAUGAAACACAAACUCGUUUUCUAAAAAUGUCUAAAUUCAAACAAGGUUUGGUUGACCCAACCUUCUUUCGCAAGAAACAGGGUGAACACCUAAUGAUCGUCCAAAUUUACGUCGAUGACAUGAUCUUCAGUUCUACGAAUCCUAGCUUGACGACUGAAUUUCGAAAGUUGAUGGAGACUAAGUUUGAUAUGAGCUCAAUGGGUCCAAUUAACUUUUUCCUUGGACUGAACAUAAGACAGGGAACCGAAGGCAUCUUCAUUAAUAAGGAGGCUUACACAAAGACUCUACUGGCUAAGUUUGUUAUAAUGGGAGAGUCUAAAGUAAAGGUUCCAAUGGCAUUCGGAACGAAGCUGACACCAUCUCUGGAGAAACCAGGUGUUGAUAUGACACUCUAUCGUCAAAUGAAAGGGUCCCUAAUGUAUCUAACAGCUAGUAGACCAUAUAUUAUGUUUUCUAUCUACUAUUGUGCCAGGUUCCAAGGUAAUCCAUGAGAACCUCAUAUGGUGGUCGUGAAAAAUAUCUUCAGGUAUUUGAAGCGAACCUCAUCUCUUGGUCUUUGGUACCCGACGAAAUCUAGCUUCUUUGUUCAAGCAUUCUUUGAUGCUGAUCUUGGAGGAUGCGGUUUAGACCGAAAGAGAACAACUGGCGGGUGUCAAUUCCUUGAUGGAAAAAUCGUUAGCUGGCAAUCCAAGAAACAAACGUGUGUGUCUCUUUCUACGGCCGAAGCUGAAUAUAUCGCCGCAGCGUCUUGCACUUCACACGUCAUAUGGAUACAAAGUCAACUUAGAGACUAUGGCCUAAACAUGAAGAAGAUUCCCCUCUAUUGUGACUCAGAAAGCGCUAUUUGGAUAUGUCACAAUCCAACGCAACACUCCAAAACAAAACAUAUAUCACUGAGAUACUACUUCAUCAAGGAUCAUGUUGAAGAUGGUAACGUGGAAAUCCACUUUGUUCGAUCCGUUGAUGAAUCAGCUGACAUUUUCACGAAAGCCUUACAUGAAGUAAGUUUUAAUAAAAUUCUCCAAGGCUUAGGAAUGAUGGAAGCUGAUUCAGUACCGAAACCCUUUUCGCCUCACUAAAAUUGGACAAGCAAAAUAGAGCGAACGCUCGGUCUAUUUCGGUUCGAGAUUUUUUGGGAACCGAAAUGAACCGAACACUCGGUUCAUUUCGCUUCAUCACUCUCAAGGUGAAGUUUCGGUUGUAUACUUUUGUACACUAUGUAUUUCUUUUCUCAAUUAACUUUAUGUCUUUCAUCUCCUUUCAUAAAAUCCAAAAACAUUUUUCUUUUUUUUAUUUCUUUUCAGAAAAUUCAUAAAAUCCAAAAAUAUUUUUCUUUUCUGUUUUUAUGUUUUUAGAAAAUUCAUAAAAUCCAAAAUAUUUUCUUUUCUAUUUUUAUUAUUUUUUAGAAAAAUCAAAAUAAUCAAAAAUAUUUUAUUUUGUGUUUAGUUUUAUUCUUAUUUCUUUUUCACAAAUAAAAUCAAAAUAUAUCUCACUGAAAGGAAUCAUGGACGACUUCCAAUGGAGCUGGGGCAGGUAUAACUCUCUUUAUCUUUUUACCAGCUAAGUGUCCCUAGAAGCAUCCUGAUGUAUGUUGUCCAAAGCCUCAAAGACUUCAAGUGAAGCCUUACUGAUUUGAUAUAUACAAAUCGAUUCUUCCCAACUAGGCUGAUAAAAUCACUUAAGUCACGAGCUACCUGACUCUUCUCAUAUUGAGUUAAGAGUUAAUUGCUUGGUCACUUUCAUAUAGCAGAGGUACUUUCAGUUCUUUAACCAUAUCUACACCUCUCUCCAACAUAUUUCAUUUCAUUCGUGUAACCCUUGAGACUCUCAGCAUUUACCAUUGAGGUUUACGGUUACACAAUAUCUGCGUUAAUGAUCUUAGUUUCGUUUCACCACGUGCUAAGUGAAACCAAAAUCCAACACCUACAAUGAAUUGACGGUGAAGAAUCAAACAUUCUAGUUUUCACCCAAUUAUUACCGAAACCACUUUUGUGGGAGGCACCAAGAAAUCUCUUUUUAUCUUUGAGCGAUCUUUAUGAAAUUGUCUAACACCAAGACUUUUCUACCCAAAAUGAUCCAGUUUAUUUUUGUUUCUGAGAUUUAUGCAGUAUCACCAAGUCAAUAAAAAAGGAUCAAACCUACUUGUUUUACAGGCCACAUUGGUCUCACACGUACUUCAUCCCGCUUUCGGUCUUAUAUUAAGCUCCGUAGUGUGGUUGAAGCAAAAGCCACCUUAAUAACCUUAUAAUUAAAAGAUGCCUUUCAAUGCUUCUUAAUAUGCAUUUGAUCGUAUUUUAACGAGAAACCACACAGACAUUUCUAAGUCUCACUUGACAUUGAAGGAAGAGAUUCGUGCCUGGGAUCCACCGUUUUGUGUCUUAAUUGACAUCACUUAAAUCCCACAAAUAAUUUUCUUUAUUUCUUUUUCUUUGGCACACUCUUGCAUGAAGAUGUUUAUGAUUUUCCACAAGUCUUGAUCGUGGUACCAAUGGCUAUUUCUCAGAUAUACAGUUCGGUUCAAUAUGAUGUGAUGGUACAGUAUGUUUGGAGUGAAGGCUAUUUAAUAUGAAGCGAAAGGGUAACUCAACACUUCAACGGGAACUUGAAUCAUUUCAAAAUUAAAGAAAAGGUGACAGGAUAAGAUUUUGAAAGGUGUGUGAAUUUGAAUCGUUUCCUUUUCUUACGCCGCUUAGCACGCUUGACACACUUUUCAGGGUAACAGUUGUCAAAUCGCGCAUUUUCAGGCAUCACGUCAGAAGAUCGUACAAUCAUCACUCCGGAUUUUUCUCUCUCAUGGUAAUCGUAUAAAGAGGUUUCUCACCUUACUUUUACACCCUUACCACUUACAAAAUCCUCUCGAGCCUUAUACGGCGAUUUCUCUCUAAUGUUCAUCUUCUUCACUUCAAGCUUCAUCAAUGGCAGACUCAUCUACAGUUCAUGAACAAAGCGCACAGUCCUCGAUUCUCACCAUCAAGCCAAAUCAAAACCUGAUCAUCGAACUCUCUCCUUUCCAGUAUGAUCCUUACGUGCUUCAAGUGGUUGAAUGCCUCAAAUAUUCACAACUUGUGGUUGCGCUAACCAAGGUGGAAUCUGUCCCGAUGUCCCUACUUUCUCAAGUCUAUUCAACGGCGGUAUACGAUAAAGCCAAGGAGAGGAUUUUUUUUGAGAUAUUCAAUCAAAAGACGUCGAUUUCAAAGGCUAGGUUUUGUUUGUUGCUAAGGUUAAUCAUCGACGACUCCAUGAUCAACCCAGAUUCGAUCACCACGACUCCAUUAUUUACCUUGUUUUAUGAUAUGGGGUACACUGAAGUUCUUACCACAGUGACGAAAUUCAAGAAGUCAUUCCUUCCUCCACAGUGGAAUGGUUUUUUUACUCUCCUUUCAAGGGUUUAUCGGAGAGGGUUGCAGGGUCUGAUGGGGCAAGCAAGGCAUUCAUGACUCUACUCUAUGGUCUAUACUAUGGGGUCAACAUGGACUACAUAUAUAUUCUCUGGACUCAACUGGUUCAAAGCCUCAGCUUAGUUUCUCGCUCUUCUGAAAUCUCAUGUGGUAGGUUUUGGACCCUAGUUACUCAGUGGGCAAUGGAGAAGUUCCAAAUUCCAAUAAUGGCAGACUCGUUGAUGUCGUCAAUCGCUACUUUUCACUUGACAAAAAUUAUUGUCUCUGAUCCAACAAAGUUUCUGUUCAUUGGUUUGGUUCCUGAAUCCAUGUACAGGUGUGUUUCUGGGGAAAGCAAGUUAAUGAAUGAAUACAAGAAAUUUCCUCCUACGGGACCGUGGCAGCUCAGUCGUAAAAUGCACAGCUCACCGGAUGCUGCUGAUAAACCAGCGAAAUGAGGGAAGAAGGCUGAACAAAAAAGCGAGAGGGACAGACCCUAAAAGUUGCUAUGCCUAAAAAGCGAAAGUCUGAACAGGCAGCUUCUUCUACUCCUAAGAAGCGAAAGAUCAACAAGAAGGGGCACAAGCCUAAGGCUCCCUCUUCAAGUGAUUCAAAAUAUGUUCCAUUUGACCAACAACCCAAACCAGAGUCAAGCGAUGAUGAAGCUUCUCAACAUGAGAGUUCGUUCCGAGGUAAUUCACCUUCACCUUCACCGACUCAUCAAGGUAACCGAACCUCACCAACCUCCUUCCUCUCCUGCUCACUCUGUUCCUAUAACAAUCGCCCCGUGCCCUCAUCCCAUCUCCUCUUCAAUUACAACUUCUACGCCAAUCCCAACCCAUUUAUUCACCGAAGUUACUAUCACCACUACUUCUACAAUCAAACCUCAAGUUCGUGUCAAUGUAUCUGAUGCGGGGGCACCUACUUCAGGAAUCCACACACCCAUUACCUCUAAACCUCUAUCUCCACCUCCCUAACAUGAAUCUGACACCGUUCUUGGCGGAGAGGAUAUGGAGUUUGAUUCCUUUUACUAUAGCCCCUACAGAGUUCAGAGCGAUGAUGAUGAUGAUGCUCCUGUAAUGAAGAUGAAUUUAAGGGAUCUUAAUGAAAAGCUUGACAAGUUGCUUAUUUCUUCCUCUUCCACUCCCAACAAGAGAUACUCUGAGGCUGCUAUCAAGACUAUGUUGGAAACUUUUGUAAAGGAGCAUGAUUCCUCCAUUUUCAACACUGCCAAAGCCAUUGAACCUGCCACCUCCUCAUGUCAGACCAUUUCCGUUGAGUAAUCAACAAAAGAUUGCAAGCAAGCGACCGAAAAUGUCGAAAAACUAAUUUCUGAUGCUAAUGUUUUUCUAGAUUCUCUUCAGGCUGCUGCUCAAAAGAAUGCUCAAACAGUUAAUUCCUCUAAUGGCAAUCUCACCAACUCGCUUCAAGCUGAGAAGAAGCACUUUGAAGAGGCACGCCAAAACAUCAAGUCUCACUACAUCGAGCUUCAAACAUCAAUCCAUGCCCAUCUUGAUAAACUCUAGGCUGAUCUUGCCUUGGAAAACAAAGUCAUGGAUGAACUUGCUCUCAAAACCACAAAGGUUAAGACUCAGGCCUUGAAGCUUACUCAGGCGAACAAGGAAAUUGAUGAUCUCAAGUCUGAGCGAGCUGUUAUCAAAAGUUGCGUUGGUGAUGUGCACUCUCUUCUCUUGACAUGUUGAGCCAUAUUGAAAUUGUUCAGGAGACUCUUCUCCCUCCGAAACAAGGGGGAGAAGAAGGUCAGGGUCAACCACAACAACCUCCAACAAGCAAACCUUCUUCACAACCAAAAGUCACCACUAAACCGAAGGGUAAUGAAGCUUCGGGUUCUAUUGUGAAGGACAAAGGCAAAAAGAUUAUCGGUGAUAAUGAUGAGGAAGAAACUAAAGAAAAUGCUCUUAAAAGAAAGCAAAAUGACAGAUAGCUUGAAGAAAAGCUUUGCAUCACAGAAGAAGAAGCAGAGAGGGAAAGGAAACAAAAAGAAGUUAACGAUGCAUUGAAACGUAGAAAAUCUCUAUUUCCUCUAUGGUCAUUGGUGAAACUUUUAAAAGAAGCAAUUGAGUCUCCCAACACUCAUUGGCUCGAACUGGUCCUUUCGUUUGAUCAUGAGAAUUCUAGAGACUCUCAGUUCGACAUGCCAAUCACCCAAAAGGCGUUUGUAUAUCAUUGCUUUAAGCCAACCGUUGUUAUCCCCUCUCCUGACCCACAGGUUGAUAGAGAACUUAUUGAAUACUAUCUCGCUUUCUCUCAACCACAAUACUUGACUUGGAGCGGACAAAAGAUCACAACAGUCAAGGUAUUGAAACCAACUUCAACAGGGAAGUUGAUAAAUAUGAAGUUUAAGGUGACUCGAGGCUCAGACACCUUGGUUCAUAUGAUCUCUCUCGCUGAUUUGCCAAACUUAAACCCACAUGAUUGGAUCCUCCUGAACAACAUUAUACUAACUGAGCCAAUUCAGUAUGAGCCUAUCAUAGAUCACAUCAAGCGAAUGUUAGUGUCUUACAUUCUUGAAGUUUCCAGGAUGGAUUAAGAGUUCGCCUCUACCUUAAGGAAGAAGCCUACAAUCAAACCAAUUGGGAAGGCAAGCGACGUCAACAUGAUGUUGAUGGGUAAGAUCGACCCGAAGUAUCACACUAUCAUGUUCACCAGAGCCGAAGGCCAAAACUGCUUGUUCGCUCUUGAAGGAAAACACCUGUUCUCCACUUCUUAUCUGGAGCACAUUCUUGACAUCAUUUACAGGUGUAAUCUAAAUAGUGAAGCUGAUAAGAUGAUUUUUUCGGAUAUGCUUCGGUGGUAUGUUGACUUCCGUCAAACUCUUCUCGCUAUCAUAUCGAAGCUAUUCAAGGCUGUGAAGAUAUCCACCCUCACUCAACCGAAAUGAUCUCUCACCUUAAUUGACGCAAAUGGGGAGAUUAUUGAGUCUAUGGGUUGUGUCAUUGGGUUUAAUAGCUUAGUCCAAUUGUAUCACGGUUUGGUCCUGUCCAUCCAUGUUUUUGAUAGUAGGGGUUAGUAUUUAUGGUGCAUGCAUGCAUCGUGUUUGGUACGCUUUAUAAUUAUUAUAUCUUUCGUUGUACUGUAACCCUAGCACACCUCUACGGCAAAAGUUCUUAGUCAAGCUCUUCUGAGGUGUUGCAGUUUUAAUCAUUCAACACUUGUUUGAUUCAUCGUGUAUUCAUACUAUUGUUUACUUUCUGAUUUACUUGUUAAGAAUCUAAACGAUCUUAAUAUAGUUUUCAACUCAUCAAUUUACAUUUACAAUCGACAUAUAGUAUACCGAUUCUUAUAGCAAGGAUCUCACACUCCCUGGAACUUCUCAAUUCACAUUUUCACUUACACGCAUGCCAUCCUUUGACUUAAUAACUGCUCAUUUAGGAGUAAUAACUUUACUCCUCUUUACACCCUUCCAUUCUAUAUGCUCUUGGCAAAGCAUCACGAGUAUUAUCACAUUCCAAUCUACUUUCUACUAAGUACCACGUAUUGGUACUAUUUGAACCGUGCCAUGGGUCACUCCCAUGUUACGUCACAUUGUGGUGGCUCAAAACGUAAUAUCUCCUUUACUCGCUCCACUUAAUGACGUCAUGGUAUUAUUUUCAUCAUGUCGUGACUCAUCACAUCAUGAUUUCAAUCUCAUCAAGUCAUGAUUUCUACAACUUCAACUAUAACAUUCUACUAUAUGACCACAUCGUGGUCACUCCUCGUCCACAUCGUGGUUAAGAAAGUACAUUGAUAUUUAUUUCUCAACUAUAUAAUACACCUCUAAUCAUCAUGUCGCACAUUUUGCUGAAGUUUUAUGCUUAUCCACGCUACGAAAUCUCACAACAAGUGUCACACUGCCACAACAUCACGUACUACAAUAACUUUCUGCACCACUCACAUCAUAACAUCCACAUGUACCAUAACAUUCAUCACGCUAUACAACAUAUAAUACACUAUAAUUCACACCACGCCACGUAUCGCAACACCCACUACAACAUGCACUACACAUGUAUCACACCUUGCACCAUAACUGUCUCUAUCAUGUGCGUACAACAUUAUUUUUAGCGAACUAUAUAUACUAAUAUCAAAAAUCCCUAUUUAUUCAAUAGCUGGCUAACUUAUAUCUACCAGACAAAAUCAAAUAACAUUUUCUAACUGCCAGUUUAAGUUUAGGCAUUUACUAUAUGAACCUAAUUCACUUAAACCACAACUCUGAUACCAACUUAUAAUGCCCAGGUUUUCACUCCAGGUAAACCCCAUGAAUAAACUUUUUAUAAAAUAACUUUUUAAAUAUUUUGGUGUACACUGGUACUCUAGAGCAGAAGAAGCUAUCACUAGGGAUCAUCCUAGCCACAAGUACAGGAUCCGAGCCGCAUGCUACUACAUCUAACCUGUAAAACAGCCACAAAAAAACACAGUAAGCCUCAUGGGUUAGGAAAUAACAACUACAAUAAUGUUAGGGCCAAGAUCCUCAACCCCAUUUAGGAUCCCUAGUCUUCAAGAACUCUUAGGAUCCCAAACAUAUAUUAGGAUCCCAAACAUAUAUUAGGAUCCUGAUCAUUGUCAUUAUUAUAAUUUCCUAAUAUUUUUAACGAAUAUAUUUCUUGCUUAUUAUCCACAUGUGCAGAAAUAGUCAACAUUUGACUCAUUCUCAAUAAGAAAUUGCUCCAAUAAGGAUUAAGACCCUUAAAUACCAAGUUAAAGAACAUGAAAAUACCAAUUCAGCAGGAUCCCGGAAAUAUUGGACUUUUAGUUACAUAAACUAAACUAUAUAUACACCGUUAAAACACACACAACGGGGACAAUUCUCUGACACUUUACUCAUCUAGACUCACUUUAUCAUUUGUAAUUGUAUUAUCAAGCUCAUCCCUGUAAUUUACGUUCAACUCAAUAAGAUCAUAUAAGACAGGUGAUCAUUAUCACCUCCCAAGGUUUAUGCCAUAGACCCUAAAAAGGAUCAAAGGCUUUCCUUGUAAACCACCUAUUUUAUUUUGAUUUCUAUUCCAUAUUCACAUUAGUAACAACACCAUGACCUCUCGUGCAAUUUGGUUGAUAUCCUUUUGAUCGAUUUUGACCAAAACAAUUUGGCACCCACCGUGGGGCCGUGGUGUUCAUAAUUCUCGAAAAAUCACGUCUAAACAAUCAACCUCAUAUUCUUCCUCUAUUCCACCCAUUUAUUCUUAAAAAAUUACACCACCUCCAUGUGGACCUCGUUUUCAAAAGAAAACUUAUGAUACCUCUAAAAAGAACACUUCUCCGAUCAUCAUACAUGUAAAUCUAGGAUCCCUGGGAUUCCAGUAUCCUCCCAUUUUGAUCUCUAACUGCGAAGUCUUCUCCAUGAUGAAGGCGUUGACACAAUAGGUGGCUUAGCAUCAGGAGGAAAAAAGAAAGCUACUUAAAGAAGUGGAAAAGAUAAGGGCGGAUAUCCAUAAAUCCCAAGAGGCAACACCAUCAAUAUUGUAAUUCGUGAUCCUGAACUUCGAUAACACAUGAUCUUUAGGGAAACAGCCAAAGACUAUAGCCCCAAAAUCCUCUGCUAUUUUAACUUAGGGUAUAAAACCAAUCAAUAAAUCUCCUAUGAUCUAGGAUAUUGAUGAAACUUUCACUACUCCUCAUAACAAAAAUGAUGCUAACUUCUUGGACAAUAAUACUCUUACUAACUCUAUGAACCUUGAUACAAGAAUAAGUCCGGUCAUGGCUAAAGAGCUUCAUCGACUCAUAAAGAUGGUCUUAAUCGUGCCAAGAAUGGUCUAACCUAUACCAGAAGUAUCCCCCACCAGUCAUAGUAUCUCAUGAUUUAUCCCCUCGAUAGUUGACACUGAAGUUCCAAAGUGCUUCCAAACUCCCAGUAUGAAGCCUUACAAUGGUACCACGGAUCCUGAAGAACACAUAGCACAAUAUAGAGAGAUAACGGAGAUCAAUCAUAGUCCCCGAAACAUAAAGGAGGUCUGUUUAUGAAAAAUCUUUAGAUCGACUCUUACACGAUCUGCCUUAAUAUGGCUUUUUAAUGUUCCUCCUUACUCUAUUACUCAAUUUUCACAUUUAAUCAAUAUUUUAACAAUCAAUUUUUUUGUAGCAGAACAUUAGAAAAUAUCACUAGUGAUCUUUAUCGGGUAUUCUAGAAUCCUAAGGACUGCCUUAAGGACUUUGUGAAUAGGUUUCGCAAGUAAGCUUUUAGUAUCCCCAACAUCGAUAUGGGAACUACCGUAGAAGCCUUCAAAAUGGGUCUAAAGGAUUCCCCUUUCUAUGAAGACCUUGUAAUGACUCCAUGCAAAAGGAUAGACGAGGUCAGAAGCAGAGCGCUAAGGUUCAUCUAGCUGGAAGAGGAAAAGGAGAUCUGGAAGAGGAGCAACCCUCCAAACUCAUACGAUAAACCCAACAUAAAGACCAACUCCUCAGUCCAAAGAUCUUACAAGUCAAAAACAUAUUCCAAACCUGAUCAUCAUAGGGUUAAUGCCCUUGAAGAUGAAGGAGAGGAAGAUGAAUUUCCUAAGACCACUAACUACUGUUUUUAUGUGGAUGUUUCAGGUGUAAUCUAUGUUAUGCAGGAUUUUGGUGAUAAAGCAAGAUGGCUAAGGAAUGGAGAAAAGUCCAUCGACUAGAAGGAUAAGUCCAAAUGGUGUGCAUGCCAUGAAGACUUUGUCCGCAGUAAAAAAGAUUGCAUAGCCCUCAAGAAGGAGAUCAACCACCUCCAAAGAAAAGGAUACCUCAUAGAGAUCCUAAGCAGAAGAAAAGAAAGAUCCAGAAAAAAGGAUUAGGAUCCUCCUAAGAUCCUAGAAAAACUAGGAUAUAGAAAAAAUAGGAUCCCCUCCUGCGGACGCCAAGGUAAUCAAUGUAAUCUCUAAGGGUUCUAACAUUUGUGGAACUUCUUUUUUGCAGCAAAAAGGAAUGCCAAGGUAUCUAAGUAGAGAAAGAAGAAAAAUCCCAGAAGAAUACGUCGAUCAAAAAUAGGAAGGAGUUAACCUUCAACGAAACAAAUAGAGAAGAUAUCCAAGAUCCCCACCAUGACGGAUUGGUGAUUACUUGAUGGGUUUGAGCCAUAAGAACAUUCCUAUGUGCACAUACAAACCCUAAUGCUUGGAUCUAGGUUUCUCUAAUUGAAAAUGCAUUGUAUCCAUGACUUUUGAACAUAAGAACAUUCGGUACUCGGACUUUGAGUGUUACUCAACUUGGCAUUACUUUGUAUCAGUAAGUCUCCCUUCUUUGAGUUUUCCUUACUAAAACAUUUCAGUAGUUUAUCUAAGUAAGUGUUCUGACUAAGUCCUAUUAGUCUCUUACUUCGUUCUCUCACUAUCCUUAUUACUAGAAUACAGGAAGCCUCUCCGAGGUCCUUCAUAGCGAAGCACUUCCCGAGCCAAGACUUUACCUCCUACAGUGUCGGGAUGUCGUUUCCUAUGACUAGUAUGUCAUCGAUAUACAGAACGAGGAAGCUUACUAUACUCCCACUGGCUUUGAUAUAUACACUUGAUUCAUCUUGGCUUCGUACAAAUCCAAACUCUUUGACUUUCUCAUCGAAGAAAAGAUUCGAUCUGCGAGACGCUUGCUUAAGUUCAUAAAUGGACUUCUCAAGCUUAAACACUCUAUUCGGAUGCUUCGGAUCCACAAACCCCUCUGGCUGAGCCAUGUAAACAUCCUCAGCCAACUUUCCGUUAAGGAAAGUGGUCUUGACAUCCAUUUGCCAAAUCUCAUAAUCAUGAAAUGUGGCAAUAGCUAGCAUCACUCUAAUAGACUUUAUUUUCGCAACUGGUGAGAAGGUCUCAUCAUAGUCAACUCUGGGAGUUUGAGUAAAGCCCUUCGCAACCAAUCGCACCUUAUAUGUGUGUAUGUUUCCAUCCACGUCGGUCUUCUUCUUCGAGAUCCAUUUGCACCCAACGAUCUUACAUCCGGGCAUAUUAUCAACCAAAUUCCAAACUUGGUUGUCAUACAUGGAUUGGAUCUCGCUAUCCAUUGCCUCCUUCCAUUUUGUAGAAUUCGGGCCUGCCAUGGCUUCCUUAUAGCUAUUAGGUUCAUUUAAAUUUAUUAGUGUACCAUCACUAAUAUACGUGUCCCCUUCGGUAGUAAUAUGAAAACCAUAAAACUGGGGUUGAACUCUAACUCUUUCGGAAAGUCUAAGAGGUAAGGACUCGUCAAUCGGUUCAACCGGAGUUUCCUCCUCGGGUUGAGCGCCAACAGUAGAGGUUCCUUCAUCAAUAGAUUCUUGAAUCUCUUCAAGCUUGAUUUGCCUCCCACUCUCUCCUUGGCUUAUGAGUUAUGUUCUUGGAAAACUCCUCUCCUCGCAACGAAGACAACAUUAUCCUUCGGUCUAUAGAAGAGAUAUCCAAAGGAUUUCUGCGGGUAGCCGAUGAAAAUACAUCGCUCACUAUGAGGUUUGAUCUUGUCAUGAGUAUCUCGUCUUACGAAAGCCUCACAACGCCAAACCUUGAUAUGUGCUAACGAGGGAUCUUUCCUUGUCCACAUCUCGUGAGGUGUUUUGGCAACCUUCUUAGUAGGGACUCGGUUAAGGAUAUGGGCAGCAUUCUCUAAGGCAUACCCCCAGAAUGAGAUAGGUAGUGAAGCACGACUCAUCAUAGAGCGGACCAUGUCUAACAAGGUUCGAUUAUGCCUUUCUGCCACACCAUUCAACUGUGGUGUCCUAGGUGGCGUCAAUUGUGAAACUAUUCCACACUCUUUGAGAUAGUCGUGGAAUUCAAGACUUAGGUACUCUCCUCCUCGAUCGGAUUGAAGCAUCUUGAUUUUCCUGCCCAAUUGAUUCUCCACUUCAUUCUUGAACUCUUUGAACUUUUCAAACGUUUCUGACUUUUGCUUGAUUAAGUAGAUAUACCCAUAUCUACUAUAGUCAUCGGUAAAAGUCACAUAGAAGCGGUUCCCAUCCUUCGUGGUUGAUCUAAAGGGUCCACAUACAUCGGUAUGUAUGAGGUCUAAUAAACCCUCACCCCUUUCACAUGUGCUAGUGAAGGGUGACUUGGUCAUCUUUCCAAGUAAACA